UACAGAGGGUGCAAGCGUUGUUCGGAAUUACUGGGCGUAAAGGGCGCGCAGGCGGCUCAGACAGUCAGAUGUGAAAGCCCCGGGCUUAACCUGGGAACUGCAUUUGAUACUACUGAGCUUGAGUACGGGAGAGGAUAGUGGAAUUCCCAGUGUAGAGGUGAAAUUCGUAGAUAUUGGGAAGAACACCGGUGGCGAAGGCGGCUAUCUGGACCGUAACUGACGCUGAGGCGCGAAAGCGUGGGGAGCAAACAGG
rnacentral:rRNA from 1 species